rnacentral:rRNA from 1 species
AGUGAACGCUGGCGGCGUGCUUAACACAUGCAAGUCGAACGGAUAAAUAAGCUUGCUUAUUUUGUUAGUGGCGCACGGGUGAGUAAUGUAUAGCUAACCUGCCCUUUAGUGGGGGACAACAGUUGGAAACGACUGCUAAUACCCUAUACUCCUUCUUGAUCGCAUGAUUGAGAAAGGAAAGACGGCCUUUGUGCUGUCGCUUAUGGAUGGACCCGCGGCGUAUUAGUUAGUUGGUGAGGUAACGGCUCACCAAGACGAUGAUACGUAGCCGACCUGAGAGGGUGAUCGGCCACAUUGGGACUGAGACACGGCCCAAACUCCUACGGGAGGCAGCAGUAGGGAAUCUUCCGCAAUGGACGAAAGUCUGACGGAGCAACGCCGCGUGAGUGAAGAAGGUUUUCGGAUCGUAAAACUCUGUUGUCAGAGAAGAACAAGUUGGAGAGUAACUGCUCCAGCCUUGACGGUAUCUGACCAGAAAGCCACGGCUAACUACGUGCCAG